rnacentral:lncRNA from 1 species
UUGGUGGAUUCGCUACAAAGCUGUUCUGGGGUCGUUUCCUUACCUUCGAGAUGAGAAAAGGAUUCCUAGCUCUGAUCACAUAUUUAUCACAAGCAUAUCUUGGCAUCGUUAUCUCGGAGGGGCAACCUUUGCCGCCCCCCAAUCCUGGCCUUCAGGAUAUGAUCAGACCCCUCACUUCUGUCUCUCAGCCUUGGCCAUUCCUCUUGGCUACUGUUGCAUGUGCCUGAGAGAGGAUUUAUGGUAUCAGGCUCCCACUAUGGAAGCCAACAUCAAGUUAAUGGAAUGGGGAGGCUGGAGAGGUGGUUAAGGGUAUUGACUGCUCUUCCAGAGGUCCUGAGUUCAGUUCCCAGCAACCACACGGUGGCUCACAACCAUCUGUAAUAGGAUCUGGCAUCCUCUCCUGGUGUGUCUGAAGACAGCAACAGUGCACUCAUAUACAUAAAAUAAAUAAUUAAAAAACAAAAAGUUAAUGGAAUGGAUCUUGCCCCUGGAGCAAAGGCUCUAGAAACUUAGGAGCCUGCAGCCACCUCACUUAUCAACUCCAAGGAAACCCAAAACAGAGGUGAAAAAGGCAGACAGUCUGAGCUCCUUCCUCCAAGGUGACUUCCUUCCUUGCUUACCUGUGUGGAGUUCUGGGUGGUCUGCCAACAGCAGUUGGGAUCAGUGUGUUAGUGGGUAAAGAAAAGGUGCCCAUCACGAGAAUACCACAAAGAGGUUUUCCUGGGUUCUGACAAUGCACAAGACCCAAAAUCUCUACAACAGAAGCUUUCAUGACUGUGGCUACAGGUGACACAGAGGAUACCCAGGUUGAAGUUGAGGCUGGCUGUCACACAGGGAUAUACAGGUACAAGUCUAGGGGCCUGUACCAGCCUGUAUAUUCCACCUAUGGCCCUCUCAGCAGACGGGUUGAGAUCAUGCCUGCCUCCCACUGUGGGGAUAUCCCCGUGGGUGCCUUACCCCUUGCAGCCUUCUCAGGCAGGUAGGGGUGAACUCAGACAUCCCAGACCUCAAAGCAAAGGCAUAAAGCUGGAGCUGACUACUUCCUGGCUGCCUGCCCAGCCUUCUUCUUGAGAGUCAGUUCAGCAGGUAUGAAAGGGGGCAGACUCAUUGGCAGCUCACAGGGCUUCCUCUGCAGGAACUGACACUUGGUAGGACUUACAGGACCUGGGAACAGGGUCACACCACCGUCACUAUUGGUCCAAGCCACAAAGAAAGAAAGGAUACAAGUAGGACUUAAGUGAUACUGAGAGAUCCUCUAUCUGCUACAAAUAUCACAUGACCUCGGGGCUAGAAAGGACUUCCCAACCUACAGCUGGGGCCAUGGUGAACCCAAUGACUCGACUCUAAAAAUGGAGACACUGGUUGGCAAAAUAAUUUCCCCAAACUCCAAAUUGUGGGACUAUGAUAGACAGCCUAUUUUAGUUAAAUGGGGCUUGCUCCGGUGACCCAGUAGAGAUCUCUACAAGGGACAGAAAAGUGAGCCACAGUCCCAGAGUCAGGUGCCUGACACCACAGAGGCCCCAACUCCAUAAUUCUGUGACUACAAGU